rnacentral:misc_RNA from 1 species
AUGAAGAACGUAGCAAAAUGCGAUAACUAAUGUGAAUUGCAGAAUUCAGUGAAUCAUCGAGUCUUUGAACGCACAUUGCGCCCCCUGGUAUUCCGGGAGGCAUGCCUGUCCGAGCGUCAUUGCUGCCCUCAAGCACGGCUUGUGUGUUGGGCUCCGUCCCCCCGGGGACGGGCCCGAAAGGCAGCGGCGGCACCGAGUCCGGUCCUCGAGCGUAUGGGGCUUUGUCACCCGCUCUGUAGGCCCGGCCGGCGCCAGCCGACAACCCAUCAUCCUUUUCAGGUUGACCUCGGAUCAGGUAGGGAUACCCGCUGAACUUAAGCAUAUCAAUAGCGGAGGA